rnacentral:rRNA from 1 species
AUUCCAAUCGAACUUGGAGAUAGCUGGUUCUCCCCGAAAUAGCUUUAGGGCUAGCCUCGAGGUAGAGAUUGCAGGCGGUAGAGCACUGAUCAGGAGAGGGGCCUACCCGGCUACCAAACCCAGUCAAACUACGAAUGGCUGCAAUUAUACUCGGGAGUCAGACUACGACUUAUAAGGGCCGUGGUCAAAAGGGAAACAGCCCAGAUCAUCAGCUAAGGUCCCAAAUGCCGUGCUAAGUGGCGAAGGAUGUGGCGUUUCAUAAACAACCAGGAUGUUGGCUCAGAAGCAGCCACCAUUUAAAGAGUGCGUAAUAGCUCACUGGUCGAGAGACGCUGCGCCGAAAAUGUCCGGGGCUCAAGCACGGAACCGAAGCUAUGGCAUGAUAGCAAUAUCAUGGGUAGGGGAGCGUUCUUAACAGGAAGAAGCAUGACCGGAAGGACAUGUGGACCGUUAAGAAGUGAGAAUGCCGGUAUGAGUAUCGAAAAGAAAGGUGAGAAUCCUUUCCACCGAAAGCCCGAGGGUUCCUGAGCAACGAUCGUCGUCUCAGGGUAAGUCGGGACCUAAGCCGAGGCGGAGACGCAUAGGCGAUGGACAACAGGUUGAAAUUCCUGUACCGGAUACAAUCGUUUGAGCGAUGGAGCGACGCAGAAAGGCAUAUGAUCGCGCGACUGGAAGAGCGCGUCCAAGUGCGUAUGUUGAAUCGGAGGCAAAUCCCUGAUUCUGAAAGCAGAGACACGAUGGGGAGUUAUACGAAAGUAUGACGAACUCAUAGAUCCUACACUGCCAAGAAAAACUUCUAGUGAGAAAGUAUCCGCCCGUACCGUAAACCGACACAGGUAGGCGGGGAGAGAAUCCUAAGGUGCGCGGGAAAACCCUCGUUAAGGAACUCGGCAAAUUGCAUCCGUAACUUAGGGAGAAGGAUGACCUUAAGUAAGCGAAAGGGAGAAACCCCUGGAACAGAACAAGGUGGCAGAAAAGAGGCCCAAGCAACUGUUUACCAAAAACACAGGUGCCUGCGAAAGCGAAAGCUGAAGUAUAGGUGCUGACGCCUGCCCGGUGCUGGAAGGUUAAGGAGAGAUGUCAGAGCAAUCGAAGCAUUGAACUGAAGCCCCAGUGAACGGCGGCCGUAACUAUAACGGUCCUAAGGUAGCGAAAUUCCUUGUCGGGUAAGUUCCGACCCGCAUGAAAGGCGUAAUGAUUUGGGCACUGUCUCAACGAGGGGCCCGGUGAAAUUGAAAUACCUGUGAAGAUGCAGGUUACCCGCGACUGGACAGAAAGACCCCAUGGAGCUUCACUGCAGCUUGAGAUUGAAUCUCGGUGAUGCAUGCACAGGAUAGGUGGGAGACUAAGAAGUAUGGGCUUUGGCUUAUACCGAGUCGAUGUUGGGAUACCACCCUUGUAUUGCUGAGAUUCUAACACGGAGGCUAACAACCUCGUGGACCAUCUCAGGUAGGCGGUUUGACUGGGGCGGUCGCCUCCGAAAGAGUAACGGAGGCGCCCAAAGGUUCCCUCAGGUCGGACAGAAACCGACCGAAGAGUGCAAAGGCAGAAGGGAGCUUGACUGCGAGACAGACAAGUCGAGCAGAGACGAAAGUCGGGCUUAGUGAUCCGGUGGUACUGAGUGGAAAGGCCAUCGCUCAACGGAUAAAAGCUACCCUGGGGAUAACAGGCUAAUCUCUCCCAAGAGUUCAUAUCGACGGGGAGGUUUGGCACCUCGAUGUCGGCUCAUCACAUCCUGGAGCUGGAGUAGGUUCCAAGGGUUGGGCUGUUCGCCCAUUAAAGUGGUACGCGAGCUGGGUUCAAAACGUCGUGAGACAGUUUGGUUCAUAUCCAUCGCGGGCGCAAGAAGUUUGAGGGAGGCUGCUCCUAGUACGAGAGGACCGGAGUGGACGGAUCAACGGUGUACCAGUUGUCACGCCAGUGGCACGGCUGGAAAGCCGCAUCCGGAAAGGAUAAACGCUGAAAGCAUCUAAGCGUGAAGCCCGUCCCGAGAUGAGACUUCUCAUCAGCAAUGAGUAAGACCCCUUAAAGACGAUGAGGUUGAUAGGCUGUGAGUGGAAGGCCCGUAAGGGUUGGAGCGACGCAGUACUAAUAGGUCGAGGUCUUAACUUG